rnacentral:rRNA from 1 species
UACGAAGGGGGCUAGCGUUGCUCGGAAUUACUGGGCGUAAAGCGCACGUAGGCGGAUCUUUAAGUCAGGGGUGAAAUCCUGGAGCUCAACUCCAGAACUGCCUUUGAUACUGAGGACCUUGAGUUCGGGAGAGGUGAGUGGAACUGCGAGUGUAGAGGUGAAAUUCGUAGAUAUUCGCAAGAACACCAGUGGCGAAGGCGGCUCACUGGCCCGAUACUGACGCUGAGGUGCGAAAGCGUGGGGAGCAAACAGGGAUUAAGAU